UACGGUAGGGGCAAGCGUUGUCCGGAAUCAUUGGGCGUAAAGAGCGUGUAGGCGGUUCGGUAAGUCGGCUGUGAAAGUCCAGGGCUCAACCCUGGGAUGCCGGUCGAUACUGCUGGACUAGAGUUCGGAAGAGGCGAGUGGAAUUCCCGGGUGUGAGCGGUGAAAUGCGCAGAUAUCGGGAGGAACACCAAUUGCGAAGGCAGCUCGCUGGGACGUCGACUGACGCUGAGACGCGAA
rnacentral:rRNA from 1 species